AGCGAACGCUGGCGGCAGGCCUAACACAUGCAAGUCGAACGAACCCUUCGGGGUUAGUGGCGGACGGGUGAGUAACACGUGGGAACGUGCCUUUAGGUUCGGAAUAACUCAGGGAAACUUGUGCUAAUACCGAAUGUGCCCUUCGGGGGAAAGAUUUAUCGCCUUUAGAGCGGCCCGCGUCUGAUUAGCUAGUUGGUGAGGUAAAGGCUCACCAAGGCUACGAUCAGUAGCUGGUCUGAGAGGAUGACCAGCCACAUUGGGACUGAGACACGGCCCAAACUCCUACGGGAGGCAGCAGUGGGGAAUCUUGCGCAAUGGGCGAAAGCCUGACGCAGCCAUGCCGCGUGGAUGAUGAAGGUCUUAGGAUUGUAAAAUCCUUUCACCGGUGAAGAUAAUGACUGUAGCCGGAGAAGAAGCCCCGGCUAACUUCGUGCCAGCCGCCGCAGUAAAAC
rnacentral:rRNA from 1 species